rnacentral:rRNA from 1 species
CCUACGGGGGGCAGCAGUAGGGAAUCUUCCACAAUGGGCGAAAGCCUGAUGGAGCAACGCCGCGUGGGUGAAGAAGGUCUUCGGAUCGUAAAACCCUGUUGUUAGAGAAGAAAGUGCGUGCGAGUAACUGUUCACGUUUCGACGGUAUCUAACCAGAAAGCCACGGCUAACUACGUGCCAGCAGCCGCGGUAAUACGUAGGUGGCAAGCGUUAACCGGAUUUACUGGGCGUAAAGGGAACGCAGGCGGUCUUUUAAGUCUGGUGUGAAAGCCUUCGGCUUAACCUGAGGAGUGCAUUGGAAACUGGGAGACUUGAGUGAGGGAGAGGAGAGUGGAAUUCGAGGUGUAGCGGUGAAAUGCGUAGAUAUAUGGAAGAACACCAGUGGCGAAGGCGGCUCUCUGGUCUGUAACUGACGCUGAGGUUCGAAAGCGUGGGUAGCAAACAGGAUUAGAUACCCGAGUAGUC